rnacentral:rRNA from 1 species
GAUGAACGCUGGCGGCGUGCCUAAUACAUGCAAGUCGAGCGAACAGACCAGGAGCUUGCUCCUCUGACGUUAGCGGCGGUCGGGAGAGUAACACGUGGAUAACCUACCUAUAAGACUGUGAUAGCAUCAGCAAACCUGAGCUAAUAGCGGAUAAUAUAUUGCACCGCAAUUUUCACUAGUUAAAGUCGGUUUUUCUGUGACUUAUAGCUUGCUCCGCGCCGCAUUAGCUGGUUGGUAAGGUAAUGGCUUACCAAGGCAACGAUGCGUAGCCGACCUCAACGGGUGGUUGGAUAGCCUGGAUCUGAGAAACGGCCCCGACUCCGACGGUAGGACGCAGUAGGGACUCUUACGCAAGGGGCGAAAGGGUGACGGUGCAAAGUCGCGUGAGUGAUGAAGGUCUUAGGAUCGUAAAGCUCUGUUAGCAGGGAAGAAGAAAUGUGUAAGUAACUAUGCACGUCUUGACGGUACCUAAUGAGAAAGCCACGGCUAACUACGUG